GCUGAGGUAGUGUAGUGGUCAGCACGUGGGAUUUUGACGAGAAAUCUUCUCAGACAUAUCAAAGUUCCCGAGUCCCCGGUUCGAACCCGGGCCACAGCU